GGCCAAUAUUGUUUGAAACACAAGAGUGCACAUGCUGAAAUGUCUCACCUUCUUUUACUAAUCAUUGAUAUUAUGUUGAUAGUUCUAAAUAUAAAGCUUUAUUACAACUGUCACAUAAACUUUACAUCAACGAAGAAAACUAAUUAUUGACCAAUGAACCAUGAAAAUGAGGUCAAAAUCAGAUAAACCAUGCCAGACAGACAUGUACAGCUAACAAUUCUUC
rnacentral:lncRNA from 1 species